AUACUACUUCCUCUGUCCGGAAUUACUUAUCGCAGAAAUGAAUGUAUUUAGAUAUAUUUUAGUUCUAAAUACAUCCAUAUCCGAGACAAGUAAUUCUGAAUGAAGGGAGUAGCUG
rnacentral:pre_miRNA from 1 species